UCGUUGCUGGUACGCGCGGUUCGCGUUGGCCUCGUGGGUCAACAGGAAUCGCGUGCCGGCGAUGACACCGCUGGCGCCGGCGUCCAGCGCGGCGCGC
rnacentral:tRNA from 1 species